rnacentral:rRNA from 1 species
GAUGAACGCUGGCGGCGUGCCUAAUACAUGCAAGUCGAGCGAACGGACGAGAAGCUUGCUUCUCUGAUGUUAGCGGCGGACGGGUGAGUAACACGUGGAUAACCUACCUAUAAGACUGGGAUAACUUCGGGAAACCGGAGCCAAUACCGGAUAAUAUUUUGAACCGCAUGGUUCAAAAGUGAAAGACGGUCUUGCUGUCACUUAUAGAUGGAUCCGCGCUGCAUUAGCUAGUUGGUAAGGUAACGGCUUACCAAGGCAACGAUGCAUAGCCGACCUGAGAGGGUGAUCGGCCACACUGGAACUGAGACACGGUCCAGACUCCUACGGGAGGCAGCAGUAGGGAAUCUUCCGCAAUGGGCGAAAGCCUGACGGAGCAACGCCGCGUGAGUGAUGAAGGUCUUCGGAUCGUAAAACUCUGUUAUUAGGGAAGAACAUAUGUGUAAGUAACUGUGCACAUCUUGACGGUACCUAAUCAGAAAGCCACGGCUAACUACGUGCCAGCAGCCGCGGUAAUACGUAGGUGGCAAGCGUUAUCCGGAAUUAUUGGGCGUAAAGCGCGCGUAGGCGGUUUUUUAAGUCUGAUGUGAAAGCCCACGGCUCAACCGUGGAGGGUCAUUGGAAACUGGAAAACUUGAGUGCAGAAGAGGAAAGUGGAAUUCCAUGUGUAGCGGUGAAAUGCGCAGAGAUAUGGAGGAACACCAGUGGCGAAGGCGACUUUCUGGUCUGUAACUGACGCUGAUGUGCGAAAGCGUGGGGAUCAAACAGGAUUAGAUACCCUGGUAGUCCACGCCAUAAACGAUGAGUGCUAAGUGUUAGGGGGUUUCCGCCCCUUAGUGCUGCAGCUAACGCAUUAAGCACUCCGCCUGGGGAGUACGACCGCAAGGUUGAAACUCAAAGGAAUUGACGGGGACCCGCACAAGCGGUGGAGCAUGUGGUUUAAUUCGAAGCAACGCGAAGAACCUUACCAAAUCUUGACAUCCUUUGACAACUCUAGAGAUAGAGCCUUCCCCUUCGGGGGACAAAGUGACAGGUGGUGCAUGGUUGUCGUCAGCUCGUGUCGUGAGAUGUUGGGUUAAGUCCCGCAACGAGCGCAACCCUUAAGCUUAGUUGCCAUCAUUAAGUUGGGCACUCUAAGUUGACUGCCGGUGACAAACCGGAGGAAGGUGGGGAUGACGUCAAAUCAUCAUGCCCCUUAUGAUUUGGGCUACACACGUGCUACAAUGGACAAUACAAAGGGCAGCGAAACCGCGAGGUCAAGCAAAUCCCAUAAAGCUGUUCUCAGUUCGGAUUGUAGUCUGCAACUCGACUACAUGAAGCUGGAAUCGCUAGUAAUCGUAGAUCAGCAUGCUACGGUGAAUACGUUCCCGGGUCU